rnacentral:tRNA from 1 species
AAUGAAGUGCCUGAUUAAAGGGCUAUCUUGAUAGGAUAGAUUAAGUAAUUUGAUAUUACCCUCAUUA